AUUGAACGCUGGCGGCAGGCCUAACACAUGCAAGUCGAACGAGUGGCGGACGGGUGAGUAAUGUCUGGGAAACUGACUGAUGGAGGGGGAUCACCACUGGAAACGGAAGCUAAUACCGCAUACCAUCAGAUGUGCCCAGAUGGGAUUAGCUUGUUGGUGGGGUAACGGCUCACAAAGGCGACGAUCCCUAGCUGGUCUGAGAGGAGGACCAGCCACACUGUAACUGUGACACGGUCCAGACUCCUACGGUAGGCAGCAGUGGGGAAUAUUGCACAAUGGGCUCAAGCCGGAGGCAGCCAUGCCGCGUGUAUGUAGAAGGCCUUCGGUUUGUAAAGUACUUUCAGCGGGGAGGCGUUACCCGCAGAAGAAGCAACGGCUAACUCCGUGCCAGCAGCCGCGGUAAUUC
rnacentral:rRNA from 1 species